UGGGGAAUAUUGCACAAUGGGCGCAAGCCUGAUGCAGCCAUGCCGCGUGUGUGAAGAAGGCCUUCGGGUUGUAAAGCACUUUCAGCGAGGAGGAAGGUGGUGAACUUAAUACGUUCAUCAAUUGACGUUACUCGCAGAAGAAGCACCGGCUAACUCCGUGCCAGCAGCCACGGUAAUACGGAGGGUGCAAGCGUUAAUCGGAAUUACUGGGCGUAAAGCGCACGCAGGCGGUUUGUUAAGUCAGAUGUGAAAUCCCCGGGCUCAACCUGGGAACUGCAUUUGAAACUGGCAAGCUAGAGUCUCGUAGAGGGGGGUAGAAUUCCAGGUGUAGCGGUGAAAUGCGUAGAGAUCUGGAGGAAUACCGGUGGCGAAGGCGGCCCCCUGGACGAAGACUGACGCUCAGGUGCGAAAGCGUGGGGCAGCAAACAGGAUUAGAUACCCUGGUAGUCCAGCGCUGUAAACGAUGUCGAUUUGGAGGUUGUGCCCUUGAGGCGUGGCUUCCGGAGCUAACGCGUUAAAUCGACCGCCUGGGGAGUACGGCCGCAAGGUUAAAACUCAAAUGAAUUGACGGGGUCAUAGCU
rnacentral:rRNA from 1 species